GCACAGUCCAUAGCUAGAAAUAGAAGGCGUUGCAUAGAAACGAGCGGUUGAUACGGCGCCCUCCUGUGCGGCUUCGCUUACCCACUCGCAGCAGGCUAGCUGACUAGCAAGUAGCACCCGUCGCCGAGAAGUAUCUCCCUUCCGCUCCCCUCUCCCCUACCCUUCCGGGUCUCGCCCUCCGCCUCACUGGUCCGCCUCCGCCGUCUCGUAGUUUCUCCCCCCGGCAGAUCUUCCACCCCGACCCCUCCGCCAUAUCGAUCUGGUUCUCCUCGCCACCGCCAUGGCUGGGUAGUGCCGCCGCAGUCGUGUGAAUUGCUGUGGCCGGUCGUAUUUGCUCUCCGUGGAGCGACUAAUUCCUCUCCGAGCAGGUGCUCCCCGGCCGCUGCCUCCACUAAGUGCGCUUCACUUUCCUAUUACUCGUGGAUUUGAGUGCCGUGGUGUGAUGGCAGACGUUCAAGAUGGUCAUUAUGAUUCGUCCACUGACAGCUUGCGCGUUGAGCCUAUUUAUGAAUCAUUUCUUUGUCCACUCACAAAACAAAUUAUGCGGGAUCCUGUCACUUUAGAGAGUGGUGCUACAUUUGAACGGGAAGCCAUUUUGAAGUGGUUCAAGGAAUCUGAUAGCAGUGGAAGGAGCCUUGUCUGCCCUAUUACUAGGAAGGAGCUCAGCAGCACUGAGUUGAAUCCAAGCAUUGCUCUGAGAAACACUAUUGAUGAAUGGAUGCAUAGGAAUGAGGCAGCUAAACUUGAUGUAGCCUGUAAAUCCUUAACUUCCGAGAAUUCAGAACAUGAUACUUUGCAAGCACUUGAAUAUGUUGUGGAGAUAUGUCAGAGAAGUAGAUCCAGCAGACAUGUAGUGAGGAAGCUUGGCUUGAUAAGCUUAAUUUCCGAGCUGUUGAAGAAUAGCAGUACAAAAGUACGGCAAAAGGCAUUGGAAAGUCUUUGCUUUGUAGCUAAAGAUGACAAUGAUAACAAGGAUGAGAUUGCUGCCGGGGACAAUAUUCGCACAAUAGUGAAGUUCUUAUCUCAUGGCCACGUCCAAGAGAAAGAACAGGCUGCAUCUCUGUUAUAUGAACUUUCACAAUAUAAACCUCUUUCAGAAAAAAUUGGGAGCGUUCCUGGGGCCAUACUUAUACUUGUUGGCUUGUCAAGUAGUAAAAUAGAAAACCUGUUUACAGUUGAUAGGGCUGAUAAGACACUUGUGAAUUUGGAGAGCUGUGAAAAAAAUGUUAGACAGAUGGCGGAAAACGGUAGACUGCAACCGCUUCUUAGGCUUCUUCUUGAAGGUUCAGCUGAUACACAAUUAUCUAUGGCUGCUUAUGUCGGGGAGCUUGUUUUAACCAACGAUGUGAAGGUCUUUGUGGCACAAACAGCAGGCUCCGCACUAGUCAAUAUCAUGAAAAGUGGGAAUAGGGAGGCUAGAGAAGCAGCUCUGAAGGCACUGAAUCAAAUUUCAUCUUACGACGUCAGUGCGAAGAUACUAAUUGAAGCAGGUAUUCUCCCACCUCUCAUAGCAGACCUCUUUACAGUUGGCAGUAAUCAGCUUCCAAUGAAGUUGAAGGAGGUAUCAGCAACAAUUCUUGCAAAUGUUGUGGCAUCAGGUGCAAAUUUUCAGUCCAUUCCACUUGACCACAACAGGCAGACACUGGUAUCUGAAGAAAUUGUUCACAAUCUGCUUCAUCUCAUCAGCAAUACAGGACCUGCAACUGAGUGUAAGUUACUCCAGGUGCUUGUUGGUUUAACUAGUUCUUCUACAACUGUCCAAGGCAUAGUUGAUGCCAUCAAAAGCUCAGGGGCUACUGUCAGUUUAAUUCAGUUUGUUGAAGCACCUCAAAGAGAGGUUCGCAUGGCUUCCAUCAAGCUCUUGAAUAACAUAUCACCAUGUAUGGGUCAAGAACUGGCUGAAGCUUUUCGUGGAAAUUUUAGUCAACUCAGCAGCUUGAUUAGAGUCAUUGCCGACAACAAUGGUAUUUCUGAAGAGCAAGCACCAGCUGCUGGUCUGGUAGCUGAUCUUCCUCUGCAGGAUUCGGUGCUAACCAGACGUCUUGUUGAAGAUGGGGCUUUCACCACAAUAAUAUCCAAAGUGAUAAUGAUCAGACAAGGGGAGAGUCGUGGGGGGCGUUUCGUCAACCCUUUUCUUGAAGGUCUAGUUAGGAUUGUCUCCCGGAUCACAUUUAUCUUGGAGGAUGAUCCAGAUAUCAUUGCUGUUGCUCGUGAAUACAAUCUCACUGCACUAUUUAGUGAUCUGCUUCAGAUGAAUGGUCUUGACACUGUCCAGAUUGUCUCUGCCACCGCACUAGGAAAUCUAUCUGGCCAGUCAAAGCAUCUAACGAAGAUUCUGCCACCUCCCAACGCGGGAUUGUGUUUUUCAAUAUUUCCAUGCCUCAGUCAGAAGUCUGUAGAAACUGGUGUCUGUAGAGUUCAUCAUGGAAUAUGUUCGUCAAGGGAAAGCUUCUGUCUCUUGGAAGGGAAGGUGGUGGAGAAGUUGGUUGCUUGCUUGGAUCACAACAAUGAGAAAGUUGUUGAAGCCUCUCUAACAGCACUGUCCACAUUAUUAGACGAUGGAGUGGACAUUGAUCAAGGUGUGAUGGUCCUGUGCGACGCAGAGGGCGUCAAACCAAUUCUUGAUGUGUUGUGUGAGAAUCGGACUGAAGCGCUGAGGCAGAGAGCGGUGUGGGCCGUAGAAAGGAUCCUUAGGACGGAUGAAAUAGCUUAUGAGAUCUCGGGAAACCAAAAUGUCAGUACAGCCUUGGUUGAAGCUUUCAGGCAUGGUGACUUUAGGACAAGGCAAAUUGCAGAGCGAGCACUAAAGCAUGUUGAUAAGCUGCCCAAUUUCUCAGGGAUAUUUUCGAAGAUCGGGGCACAGUGACCAUGUUAUGCAGAAGUAGGCUAGUUCUCUUAUACCGGUCGCCUGCAGAUCCUCUUGGGUUGCAUAAAGAUACGUAACUCAAAUAUUGGCGCAUGCCAAAUCUCACACCAAUCAGUUGCUUUCCCAGCUUAAUCGUGUUAGUACUGCCGCUCUCCAAAUAGUUCCCAAACUAAUCGAAUUGAUAGAAUGGGAACUGAAGGUAUUGUUGGUGUGUAUAGUAUAGUGUAUAUUUCCACCCUGUAAGCUUGUUGUAUCUGUAUUAUUCAGAUGCUCAGAUGCAUAGCAUGAUAUUUUUGUGCGAAUAUCCAUUUCUGCGCCUGAGCCCAUCUGAUCUCAGUUAACAGUAAAAUAAUAAAAUACUAGAAAAAAACUGGUUUUUUUGCAUGUCUGUACCAAUUUUCAACGUGUUCGAACAUCUGAGAGAAAGAAAAAUAUUGGUCUGAACACAGCAUAAACAGUAAACUGUUUCAC
rnacentral:rRNA from 1 species